rfam:Hordeum vulgare subsp. vulgare, WGS project CAJW01000000 data, contig: morex_contig_37945
AUAAUACUCACUCUGUCUCAAAAAGUUGUCUUAGAUUUGUCUAGAUAUGAAUGUCUUUAAUUAAGUUUUAAUAUUUAGAUUCAUACAUUCCUAGACAAACUUAAGACAAGAAUUUUGAGACGGAGGGAGUAGGUG